CCGACCCUCUCUUAGCUCUGCUCCAUCAUCUCUCUCUCGAUCACUACUGUUUGAUAACGACGGUGCGACUUUGGCGGAGGCCGUCGCCGUGGCCGUUAUCAGCGAGCAGCCUCCUCUCGUUUGUCGUUUGUGGAGGUAUAUAUCUCUUUCUCCUUGUUCUCUCGAUUUCUUGAUGGAAUAUUUUGUUCAAUAGUUCGAUGUGUUGGAUUUUUUUGAUUUGUUAAAUUUGUUUAAUUUGUCCGAGUUUUCCCUAACCUCUGAAUUUUGCCCUAAUCUCUGAAUUUUGCUCUAAUUUGUGAAUUUUGAUAUGGAACAUAAUUUUCCGGCCGCCGAUCCUUAUUCGGAAUUUCUAAGAAAUGUGCAUAACAUUGUCAGGGAGUCGGUGGCGAGUAAUAAGAGUCUUUUUCUUGACAUUUUUGCUGUAAACGAUGUCAGGGAAGAAGUUGAGAGGUUCAAGAGAACCCCUUUUGCACAGAAGGCGGAGAGGGACCAAAAUGUAAAAAUCCUUAUGUCUUUCCGCUGAUUGUUCUUUUCUUCUUAUAUAUCUAAUUUUUGUUUAAUUAAAGGUGUCUUGGAGGAAUGGUUGGCCAAUUUCCACCACAUGGUUUAAUAUGGUUUUCUUAUUGGUUUAGUCACACACACACAUAUGCACAUAUAUUGUCUAGGUCCUGUUCUUUGAUUUGGUAUGUCCACUUGUCACUAGGUUUCCGGUUUUUCUUUGUCCCUUUGCAGCAUUGUUGUGUGCGUGCACAUGUUUCUAAAAUUUGCUCAUCAUUUUUAUUUCAAGGUUUUGUCGAGUUCAUGUAUCUAGUCUACUGCUUGCUUGGUCUCUGUACGUGUGAGUUAAUUUGAGGAGGAAGGGGAGGGGCGGGGGUGUUUCUAAAUAGAGCCGGGAGGCUUGAAGUUCAUUUUUGUUUUGUGGCAUUUAAUUGUUAAUUUGUUAGCGAUAGGGUGCCUGCAGUCUCCAUCUUUUAAGCAACGUACGUGGGCCGAUAGGUCCAAUUUCUUCCAGAUACAAAGUUUUCUUCUGCAGAUCUGUUUUAGGUCCAAGUGGAGGAAACAGGGUUCCUGUGCUAAAAUCUGAUGGUCUGGUUUUAACAAGGUACGUAUACGUGUUCCCAUUUGAAUCAGUUCCCUUUUUGUUUUUAUUAGAAAACUGCACCGCACAAGCAUAUAAGGUGAUAUAUAUGUUCUCAGUUCCGUUUUUGCUGUAAAUGUACAAAGAUCAGCCAAAAACAUUCUUAUCUUGUACUGAUAUCAGUCCCAUUUUGCCCAAACCACUUAUCGGCCAGGUAAUCAGUGUUCCCUCUCUAUUUAAUAUUCAUUCUUACAAGUUUAUUUUAAUUUUAUGUGUACUUUGCGUUGUGAAUGGUAAUAUUGUAUACAUCAAUCACAAGAAGGUUGACUUCAUUUUUACUUUUUCGUAAUUGGUUUCAUUGUGAAGUUUUAAAUUUCCUUUGACAUCCAAUCUCCCCUCAACAGUUUUGGGUUUGUCUGUUAAGUUAAGCUCAAGGGAAGGACAUCCGGCGAAAAAGGUGAGACCAUCAAUGCAAGGAGUGUACUAUGUAGGGGAUCAGGACGAUGGGUUCACACGGUUUGAGUUCUCAACUACAGCCAGCGGGGGUUCCGGCACACCAUCCACAGAGACCAGUCCCCAAUCCGCUCUUAGACCACCACCUACCACGAGUAAUCAGUCCCCAUCUUCCCAAGUGAGUGUUUUGAUUCAGUUUCCAAUAUGUGGUUUCUGCACAUGAGCGAAUAAAUAUGUAACGUAAACGUGCUCUACCAUAACUGAUAAGGUGAUAUGUGUUGCCUGCUAAGGCUGUUCUGAUUGGUUUUAUUAAUAUUGAUGAAGUUAGUGUUUUAA